AUGGCGUCCUUUCCGGUUUGAUGGUGGCUUUUUUCUUUACAAAAUUUAAAAUGAGGACAUUAAGAAUAGACCAUCUGAAAUGAAUUCAGAAUUCGUUUGAAGCGAACAGUAUGUUCAGAAGAAUUCUAAUGGCAACAAUAACAAACUCUAAAGGCAAGACUGUGAUAGGUGACAAGACCAAUGCCACAACUUCCACCAUGGGGAAGAAGAAAGCCCAGAUCCGUGCCUUCAACUCCAAGAGCAGCCCAAUAUACAAGACGCAGUCGGACACCUCUCUUGUCAGUGGCAUGAGAAACCUUAGUCUCAGGGAAAAGAAUGACUCCCCAUCAAAGCCACCACCCCCAAGACGUGGAUUCUGCAGUGGCAAAACAACAAUACGGAACCUGUCUGAUGUGGCUGACGUGAUACGAAACCAACAGGUCAGAAAUGUGGUGAUCGUGGCCGGAGCUGGCAUCAGUACACCAAGUGGGAUACCAGACUUUAGAACCCCAGGAACUGGUCUCUAUGACAACCUACAGCAAUACAAGAUCCCUUACCCCGAAGCCAUAUUCGACAUUGACUACUUCCACCAUAACCCACGACCGUUCUUCACACUUGCCAAGGAGCUGUACCCCUCGCGGAAGUACCGCCCCAACUACAUCCACUACUUUGCCCGACUCCUGCAUGACAAGGGGAUGCUACUCCGCAUGUACACACAGAACAUUGAUGGCUUGGAGCGAUUGGCUGGUAUUCCACCAACCAAACUGGUGGAAGCUCACGGAACAUUUGCCACUGCAACGUGCGUCAUCUGCAGCCAGAAAUACAAGGGUGAUGACAUCAAGGACAAAAUAUUUGAUGACAAGAUUCCAAGAUGUAAACGAACUGCUUGCCCGGGAAUUGUGAAGCCAGAUAUCGUCUUUUUUGGAGAGGAACUGCCAAAACGCUUCUACUACUACCUCAAGGACAUGCUGCAGACUGACAUGGUACUUGUGAUGGGGACGUCGCUGGAGGUUCAACCAUUUGCUGGUAUCAUAGACAAUGUCAGAUGGAAUAUACCACGCAUCCUGUUUAACAGGAAUGCAGUUGGACCGUUCCGUCACAACAAACGUGGUAAAGAUAUUGUGGCUGAAGGGGACCUACUGGAGGUGAUGCAGAAGUUUGCUGGGAUGAUGAACUGGAAGCCGGAGAUGGCCGACCUGAUUACGGAGUGCGAGGGAGAGUUCAGAAUAUCAUACAGUAAUUUGAAAAUGGAACCACAGCACAGCGGUACCAGCUCGGUGUUUGAAUGCUGGGGCAACCCUCCCCCAGCCCCGGCAAAGACGAGCCCAAGUCCGACCAGUAAACCUAACCAGCCGUAUGCUAGCAUGUGGCGACAGAAAGCUCGUCUGGAUUUGUUCCGUGCCAACUUCUACUUCUCCAGCAGUGACAGCAUGUCUUCCACAACUGACAGUGAUUCAUCAGAAGAUGACAUACCUCAGAAGAAGUCGGGCUUGGGCUCCGGACACCGAAAUAACACAAGGUUUAGAGGAAUUAAAACAGACCCACCAAGUCGAAAAUUUGGUACAACCCAGUCAAAAAGGAACACACAGGUUACAGAUAGGAAACCAACUCAAGGAGCUUGGAUGAAGCAGCAUGUAAAGAAUGACAGUGGUGUUACUACUGGCUCACAAGCAAAAACAAAGACUACUGAAUCGGGAAAGAGAGAGCUGCCCAAGAGACGUAGUUCUUUAUCUUUACGAUCUCUUCCUGACUCUUCUGGACCUGUUACUCAAGGGUCUCGCCAAAGAGACCAGACGGCAACCCCAUCUUCUGAAACUUUGAGUGAUACUAAUGGUCGGGUAAGGGAUAAAAACAAGAGAAUUACUCCCAACGCAACAAAUCUUGUUUCCCAAAGGACAAGUUCAAGGGAAGCGCUACGCAAACCAUCAAAUGGUGUUUCUACUCGACAGUUGUACAACAGACCACCCAUUCAACCCUCUUCCAAAACAAGGGCUGCUCAACAGCAGAGAAAUAUUGACAGACAAAAGACUUUGUUCCGAGCAGGAUCGGCCGAGAUCCCUCGGUUGACGUAUCGACAUCAGAUUCAGAAACCUGUUCGUGAUGCACGGAUUCUGUCCUACGCAAACCGAAGUUCAGAUAGUUCAAGCGCCACUUCUUCAGAAGAUUCAGAUGAUUCCAGAUGAUGAGUUUCUGCUAUAGCAGUUAGCCUUACAUGUUCACUGUGAUACCGUAGUGUCUUGUAUACUGUAGGUGUAGAUGUCAUCCCAGAAAGUAACUCAUGUUAUACCGUAGUGUCUUGUAUACUGUAGGUGUAGAUGUCAUCCCAGAAAUAACUCAUGUUAUACCGUAGUGUCUUGUAUACGUAGAGUGUCUUAGCUUAGCAGGACUGGACACUAUGGACCAGUGGUAUUACUGAUUUAUGUAGACCCACUCAGAGGUCAUGCUGAUAUUUAUGGGAUGGUAGAUUUGGCUUAUGUAAUAUCUAAAUACAGGACCAUUUAAAAUGAAACUUUAAUGCAAAGCUUUACAUUUCUGCUAUUAAUGCAGAGUUAAAAAGUAUGGUAAAAAUACUUCUGCAUUAAAGAAAAUAACUGCUUGUUCAUCAAAAUAAUGAUAAUGGUGCAGAUUACACUGUGUGACAGAAUAGGUACAGUAAGGCUUGGAGGAUGAACUUACACGGAUAAUCUUACAUUGACUGGUAGUACAAUGGUUUAGGUCCAGGCCCUUUAUAGAGUUACCUCCCUUAGUAAGACCAGAAUAUCCUGACAUGAUGUGAUCUAGAUUCAGUACCAGUCAAAGUUUCUCAAAGCCCAGCCAAUUUAUAGUUAACCCGUAAUAACAAGUUGUAUUCCAAACUUCAAACAUGGUGUUUGAAUGUAUGGUGGUUGAAAGUAUAUGGCUAUACUGCAUUAAUGAGCGAUGAUGACAAGCAGCCAUAACAUGGAUACCAGAGAUUUCUUCAAUAUAUUUUAUACAUAUGUCAGAACAUACAGUGAUUAGCAUACUUGAUGUAAUUGAUCAGUCUGGCCUGGUCAUAACAAGGUGAAGGUAAACAUGGGCAGAUAACUGUUCACAUACCCUGACCAUUAAAAGUGAAGGUCAGCAAGGGCAGAUAACUGUACAUAGAGGUAUUAAAUACAAAGAGAUACAGAUAAUAUUUUAUGUAGUUGUGAUCUGUCUUACUUGGUUAAUGUAAAUAUAUAACUGAAAUUGUCAAAGAGGUAUAAAAUACACAAAUCAUGUCCACAAGUUCCUCUUGAAUAGGUUCUCUUAUCUACCAUUUAUCAUAAUACACCUACCUUGUUUAAUGAAACAUUCUACUUAGAAAUAUGACAGUUUGACAAGACAGAAAGUUCGAAUAUCUGACUCAAGGUCUGUUAAAAAUAUUUAUGUUCUCAUACCAUCAUAUGUAGCAUUGAGCUCUGAUCUAGUAAUAUUUGUUUCUUUCUAUAAAGAUUGGCUCAUAAUAAUACAUUGCAGAAACAUGAAAAGGUACUGAAAUUGUUACAAAUAGUCUGAAAGCUUUCAGCACAGUCCAAACAAGUCAUCAUGAUUACUCAUGACGUUUUUGCCAUUUUGUCUCAACCAGAAUUGUUUAACUGGAACUAUUGAAGCCAGUUCUGUUUGCAAAUCCAUCCUAUGAACUGAAUUGUUUUCAAACUUGCCCUGUUGUCCCUGUAUAUUGGGAGAGUUGUGUGGAUAUUGUAUGACUGUGUGAUAGCCACUGUCUUUCCAUGUCAUGCCAAAGUCCAGGGCAGUAAGCCUGACUCUAGAGUAUUGUAUCCACAUUCCGUUAUGAUAAAUAAUGUGAACAAUUCGCCAACCUAGAUCCAUGUCAGAAGUAGAGUCCCAUCUAUAACUCAAAUGUUUCACAGAAUGUCUCAAGUUGAUGGGCUUGAAUUCUACAACCAGUGAUAUGUUAUCCAAGCAUAAAAGUGUCACAAAUGAAAAUUUAGCUGAAAAAAAUGUAUUCCUUACUGCUGAGAUGGAAUGGAUGCUGUUUGCUACCAAAUGUUCCAAAUGGUUAGUAACAAGAAUUGUCAGGUACUUCAGACAUUACAAAUCAGUGUUAUUUGAUUGGAUACUGAUUUGAUGAGCUGUGUUAAUCGAGGUGGACCUCAUCAUAACACAAUGGAGAUUUAAUACACUGUGUAUUCAGGGUGGUUGUAACAUUAUUAUUUUCCCUUGGAAUUAUUUUGUUCUUGUGCCAUGAAGGUGCCAAGGUUACUUACCAGUGCUUGUAUUUCGUGCCAGUGUUAAUAUGGUUAAGGGAAGAAAAUGUUUUUGAAUUUUGUGUGCUUUCCCCUCAUUUUUCAGGGUUUUCAAUUGGCGUUUAAAUCAAGUUUUGUUUGUGUGUCAGGCAUCCAUCUUGUUUUCUCACAGGAUUAUUACAAAAACAAUGAAAAAAUUGUGUUUUGAUUACCGUAUGUUAUAACUUAUCUUUUAUGUUUUCAUACAAAACAUUAAAAAAAUUAGGCAAGAGGCAUUUUAAUGUUUUGGAAAAAAUAAGAUCAGAAGUAAAUUUGUUUUUACCCAAACUUAGUUUGCAUAGCGUACAAAAACUGUUUCCAGUCCAUACUUCACCUGUCUUAAGUUAAUGUUACUGGCAAUGGACAUUCUGCUGGAUACAUGAUUAUAGAUUUAUUUGUAUAAAUGGAAAAAAGAAAGGAGGUAGCAUAGCACCCUAUUUGACCCACUGAAGUAUUGGUAUAAAAGUUAUUAGACAUGUUCAUGGCAGAUGACGAGCCUUUUUUCACUAUUACAGGAUCAAGUAUAAUGAUUGAUCAUAGCCCAAAUAUAUGAAAAUAACCAAAUGUUUUGAACUUUGAAGUUAGAUCUAAGUAUUGUAAAUUUAUAAUAAUCAGCUUAGGUCAAACACUUAUUUAUGUAUAAAUAUGAAAAAACACUUGUUGAAAGCCUCAAAUGUAAUUCUCAUUCAUGCACGCACAUUUGGUAACAUUCAUACUGAGUAGAAAAGGUUUUUCCAAAUUUCUUGGAAGUAUCUUCUAGACCAAGUUGUACCCCUAACAUAUCAUACCUUGUAAUUAUUAUAAUGGGAUGAAAUAUAUUAAAUACUGUUAAUGGCUGUCCAAUAAUGAAGAAGUUUUCACCAUGACACAUUCUAGUCUUUGACAAAAUGCAUUUAUAUGUACAACAAGAAUAUUUCAUAUAAGCAAGUGUAUAUGUUUGCACAGAUACUGUCUAUAAAUGCCCAGUCCCUUGGAAUAUCACUGUAUCAGCAUAUUAAUGUUGUAUUUUAUUUAAAAACAUGAAAACUCUCUAUAUUUUUCCAAAAUAUAAUGUUUGACUUAUUAAGGCCCCUGUAAAUAAUUAUUGUUUCUGUAACCUAACUGACCAGUUGUCUCACUUAUGUCCAAAACAAAUUUAAUAUAUAUAAUAUAAUAUAUGUAAAUAUUCAAAAAAGAAUGGAAAUUUCCACAUAUCACAGGUGCAAGCAUUUUGACCAUCAGUUCUAAGCAAGUCAUCUGUGUUAAAUAUUAGCUAAACGAAUCUAAAAAACCCCAAAACUUACCUUCAACCCAUAUCUGUUAAAUUAAGAUUUCCUGGACCACAAGUAGGUUACUCUUUCACCAUACUUAUGUACCAGUGGUGUGAAAACAGCAUAUGUAUAGCUGAGUAUAUGUAUAUCUCAGAUUGCAUGUUUUUGUAAUAUAAAUCUUGCUACCAUGACCUUUUUAUACUUAUGUUACCAAAAUGUUGUAUAGAUUUUCAAGAUGUUUGUACAUUUCAAUGUGACAUCUAUAGUAUUACCCGUCUUGUUUUUCCUGCUUCCAUUGUGUAUGUCUGUGAGUAUUACCUCCUCAUGUUGUAGUUUUGGAGGGAAUUAGGGAAUGGUUUUGUUCUUACCCCUAGUGCUAGGUAUGGGAGUUGAGAGUGAGAUAUUGUUUGCAUCAGGUUUUUUCAUCAGAAAACAGAUCAAUUCAUUAGUCAGGAAGGGCCAGUUGUACAUAUUUUAGCUUCCAUGUCAGUUAGUGGCCAUUCUUUUGGAAGAUGUCAAAUGAUUUAGGUAGUGGAUGAGUUAGGAUAAGGGACAUUGAUGACCAUCUGGAAAUGCAAAUGUAAACGUUUAUAUAAAUUAUUAGCCAUGUGCAAAUAACAGCCAACUGGCCUAGAUAAAACUAUAUGAAGAUAUUAUUAGGUUAAGUCCAGAUCUUUAACUGGACAAGACUUUAAAAUUGUUAACUACUGUUAAAAUGAACUUGCUAAGAUGAGCUGCAUAAUGAAGAGAGCAUGUAUUUUACUCCUCUUCCGUUGAUUCUGGCAUAUUUUGAGGUUUGUUUCUUGAAAUGGAAUAUUUAACAUGGGAGACUAUUUUUCAAUAUGUGCCUUAAAUUAGUAAAUGAUAAUGCUGGAUAUUGUCCUCUUUUAUUCCAUAGUAUUCCAUCAGUGCCCUAUUCAGACUGCUCUUGUCAUUUUAUAGUUUACAGAACUCUGAUAACCAUUGGAAAUAAUCAUUAAUUAGUUUAAUAUUUUCAAACUAUAUUUUGCAUACCGGGGGGUAGGUUGUUUUGAUCAUUUGGAUAAAUGUGUGAAAAUACCAAUUCUGUAAUUCAAUAUUAAUUCAGAAACAUCAUGUCAUUACUUAUGAGGGCUUUGCCCCAAGGGAGACUUGCAGUGUUUAGAGAGGAUAUAGAUGUGUUUCAUAAGUUACUGUUUAAUAAGGUAAUACAUAUGCUCAAAACUACCCAAGUCUUUCAAAAUUGAAAUAUUCAUAUUUUUUUGUAAAUCAAGUUAAGAUGGAUGGGCCAGGCAAGUAAAACUAAAUAAUUAUAAUCUUUUUUUUCUCAAUGUGGAUCUGGUAUUGCCAAUCUGUAAGCUGUAAAAUACAAAAGGGUGUCACCUCAGCAUAUCAUUGUUAUCAGAUAUAGACAACAUGCAGCUGAUGUACAGAUCAAGGUGCUGUGUCACGGAUGAGUUUACCUGAAUGCUUGUGGUUAUACUAGUAACAUAUAGAGAGGAAAUAAACUGACUCCAUUAUCAGUACAGCAAGUC
rnacentral:misc_RNA from 1 species